UCGCGUGGCUUUGCCGUUGCCGACCUACCGCCCGCCCGCCCGCCCACCCGAACCAGACCCGGCCCGGCCCGGAUCCAGCCCGACCCCACCAGCUCAACUCCCUUUUGAUUUCCAGCGCCCAGCGCGGCGAGGCCGUGUCCGGUUGGCGCCAGGCCUCCCCCACCGCCUCCGCGGCGGCUAUAAAAGGCGCCCAGGCGCACCCUCUCCUCCCCGCGCUCCGGCCCCGUCUCUCGUCCGACCUUUCUCGUUGGUGACGGGCCGCGCCUCCUCGCGUUUGAGCGACUGUUUCCUUCCCCCUUCUUGCCCUCGUCUCGAUUCCUUUCCAAUCGCGUCUGAUUUGAUUUCACUCGCCCUCGCCGUCGCCCUCGCCGUCGCCGUCACCGUUGCCUUGCUGUGCUCGCAGGGUAUUCGAAUCCGGCCCGUCUCCUCUGCCUCCGUGCGAGCCCGGGAAGCGAUCGAUCGAGGAUCCAUUCAUCUAUCUGGUUUGCGAAUCUGUCUCAGGAACUCUUUUCUGUGUGUCCACUUCUGUUUGCAGGCGUGGAUCCUGUGUUCCUGGAUCCGCGCGCGUUGGUUGCAGGAUCGUCGUGCCCUGUUUUUGGAAUUGGAGCUCUGAUUGCGGAGCCGAAGGCCGACGCAAGAUUCCAGAUUUCAAAUCAAAUGGAUAUGGCCCGUGUCGUCUUCUGGUCCAUUAUUCCGCCAAAUCAUUCGUUAGUACGAGGUGGAUUAAUUCGAGGCCCUCAUGGAUUUGGUGGAGGUUUGAUUCCUGCUCAUGGUUGUUUUCAUUGAUUCGUUGGUUCCGGUUCAGCGGUUAUUUUUUCUGAUGAUGUGGUCAGCUCUUCUCGGGUGAUGAAGCUUAGGAUUUCUCUUACCAACCUGAACCUGCCAUCUGCGUUUGCAUUUAUAAAUACUAAAUCCCUCAAAAUUUUAGUUUCUUGGUCUGCAUAUAUACUAGUCAACGGCAAUUCUGAUCUGAAUUCGUUGCUUCUCCAGAAAUUAUAAAUUGGAUUACACGGCAAAGCGGGAGCCGGGAGCAACAUCUGCGUUUGGAUGAUUAAUUACCCCCUCCAUUUAAUUCCUUCAUCUACACGGUUCAAUCUUAGUCGGUUCUGAUUUAGAUUUGUUGAUGGUUGUCCAGAAAUUGGGAUUAUACGGCUUACCGGGAGCGACUUGUCAUUCUUCCUCACCUGUGUCUGGAUGAUCAUUCUCUCUCUGUUUAUUUCCUUUCCUCCACAGUUCAAUUAGUCUGCACACAAUUCUGAUUUGGAUUUGUUGCUCGUACUCCAGAAAAUUGGAAUUAUACAGCUUAGCGAGUGGUCCUCUUUUCCCUCGGCAUGGCGGUUCCUUUUCUGUGGCUCAACAGUAUUUCUUACUCAAGAUUAUUAUUAGAAAACACCAGACAAGUUUCCUCUGCCUUAGUUUGUCAAUUCUUAGCUCUUGCAGACAUCGUCUUGGAAGGGAUAUAAUUGGAACCGGUGCUGUCUACCUGACCUUCCCAGACAAGACUUUUCUUAUAACUUUUAAAAGUAUCUUGCUCGUUGCAGGUUUGAGGAAUGCAAAGUCCAAUCAUUACUUAGAUAAUCUUUAAGAUCUUCUCACUAGGCAAUAUUUUAAAUUCAGAUUUAUCUGGGAAGGUGCAAGAAUGGAGCUUCAAACUUGGCAAAUCCUACAAUAAAAAAGAGACUCCUCCAUUUUAACUUUGCCUCUUAUUUUUAUAUCACGUAGCUACUUGUUCAUGCCUUUGAUUUAGGCUUUUUUGCUUCUCCCCCCCUGUGAUUGCAGAUUUAUUUUAGCCCAGAGCGUGCUGGUAGCGAGUCGAAAUCUAUUAAAAUCAUUUGGUUUGCAAUCUAUCUCUAUAUGGGUCGAUUUGUUCUCUGUACUCUUAUCCUGUAGGAAGUUUGGGCCUAUGGGCAAAUCUCUGUACAAUGAGUCAGGUCAGUGUUGUAUCAACGGUUUGUUUGGUUUAUUUGUUUGCCUCCCUCCACACAUUGGUUGCAGGACUGGAUCUGGAAUGUGGAGAUCCCUGUGGUGUUGUAUGUCGAAGGGGAUUGAGGCAGGUCAGAUUUGAAUCGUGCGGUCAUGUGGUUGUAGCAGCUGAUCGUUUGGUGUGUGUUUGUGCUCCUUUGCUUGCAGCAGGAGGGUAGUAGUUCUGCACAGAUGAAUCAUAGGGUGGAGAUUUGGUCUCUGUUCAUCAUUUUGAUUGAUUGGAUUAUGAAGCUUUGGAUCUCUUACCAACCUGAACUUCGGAUCUGCGUUUGGAUAAUAAAUUCCGCCCCGGUUCAAUUUAUUUGGUUUGCAAAAUACAAUUUAGUCCUUGGCAGUUCUGAUCUGUAUUCGUUUGUGGUUUUCCAGAGAUGGGGUUAAUUGGUGGAGAUUUGGUUUCUGUUCAUCAUUUUGAUUGAUUGGAUUGGAACCUGGAACUUGCGAUCUGCGUUUGGUUAAUGAAUUCUGUCCAGAUUCAAUUUAUUUGGUUUGCACAGUACAAUUAGUCCUUGGCAGUUCUGAUCUGUAUUUGUUUGUGGUUUUCCAGAAAUUGGGCUUAAUAAGGUUUAGCAGGAGCAACCUAUCUUCUUGUUGAUCUGUGUUUGGAUGAUUCUGAACCCCUCUAUUUAAUUGCUUCUCCACAAUUCAAUUUUAGUCCCUGACAAUUCUGAUUUGGAUCUGUUGCUGGUUGUCCAGAAAUUGGGAUUAUAUGGCUUAGCGGGAGUGACCUAUCUUCUUGCUGACCUGCGUUUGGAUGAUCAUUACUCUCUGCUUAAUUUCUUCUCCACAGCUCAAUUAGUUAUCCGACAAUUCUGAUUUAGAUUUGUUGCUGGUUCUCCAGAAAUUGGACAUAUAUGGCUUAGCGGGUGAACCUAUGUUUCCUCAGCAUGGCGGUUCUUUCUGUGGCCCAAACAUAUCUGACCUUUUGUCCUCCCUUGAUUAUUGAACUUCCUAGAGAUUACUUUCUUUGCCUUAGUUGGUAAUUCUUAGCUCCUGCAGAUGCUGGCCUGGAAGCGAAAUAAUUGGAACCAGUGUUGUCUAUCUGACCUUCGCGGCCGAGACAGGCUUACUUACACUUUACCUCUUAACCUUAACAUUUGAUGCAUGCUUUAGCUGAGCCUAGUUUUCCUGUUAACUUAUAGAAAGGUAUCUUCCUCGUCGCAGGUCGUAGUUGAUGAACUCAAGUCCAACCUGGUGCUGAGUUGAAUCUGUUUGCAGUUCUUCUAAAUCUACUAUUUUCUCAAGUCAUCAUAACUUAGACAACCUUUAAAAUUAUCUUACCAGGAAAUAUUUUGAAUACAGAUCUGCAAAGGUUCAACAAUGGAGAUUCAAACUAAUGGAACAUCCUACAAUGAAAAGACUAUAUUUAACCCACCUCUUAUUUUUUGUUUCACGUAGCUACUUGUUUAUGCCUUUAAUUUAGGUUUUUCCUUCUACCCUCCCUUUGGUUGCAGAUUAAGCCCAAACCAUGCUGGUAGUGAGUCGGAAUCUGUUAAAAUCGUUUGGUUUGCGAUCUCUCUCUAUCUCUCUCUGGAUCGAUUUGUUUUUUGUACUCUUGAUCCCCGUGCUGGUCUUCUGCGCGUAUCAGUUGCAGGAUAUAUUUAGGGAGUCUGGGCCUAUGUGCAGGAUAUAUUUGGAUAUGUUGGUGGUUCUCCAGAAAUUGGAAUUAUAUGGCUUAGCGGGAGCGACGCAUCUUGCUGCUCUACGUUUGGAUAAUUAUCACUCCCUCUGUUUUACUCUUUUCGUCUCCACUGUUCUGUUUUGGUUUCCCACAAUUCUGAUUUAAACUAUUUCUUGGUGGCUCCAGAAAUUGGAAUAAUAUGGAUUAGAAGGCGGUCCUAUUUUGCCUCGGCAUGGCAGUUCCUUCUGUGGCUAAAACUUUUUCAACCUUUUUUACUCUAUAAUUGAACUCUCUAGACAUUAGGUUUUCAUUGCCUUAGUACUUAUCAGCUCUUGCAGAUACUGACUUGGAAAUGAUAUAACUGCAGUUUGGAACCGGCGUUGUUGUCCUCCAUCAUCCAUACCUGACUCUAGACAGGCUUUACUUGUUCCCACUCAUCGUUUCAUCCAUGCUUUAGCUAUUUAUAAGCAGCAUUUCCCCUAACAUUUCUUUAUAGAAACGGUCUCUUGCUCGCUGCAGGUUGUAGUUGACAAACUCCUGUCCAGCCUGAUGAUGAAUCCGUCUACUGAUCUUCGAAAUCCACAGUGUCGUUUCAAUUCAUUGCAACUUACAUAACCUAUAAAUUAUCUUACUAGACAAUAUUUUAAAUACAGAUUCAUAUGCAGCACGAAUAUAUAGGAUGAUCCAGAGCUUUCAACUAAUGGCACAUCCUACAACCGAAAAAGACUCUUACCUUCCUUUUUUUAAUUUCAUUUAGUUACUUGGCCAUCUCUCUGAUAUAGGUUUUUGCCCCUGCCCUUCCUAUGGUUGCAGAUUUUUCUUUAGCCCAGGCCAUGUGGGCAAUGACUAAACUCUUGAUCCCUGUGUUUUAUUGGUAUUCUGCGUGUGUGGGUUGGCAAUAUAUAAUUGUUAUUAGGAGUUUGGGCCCAAACCUUUGCUCUGUACAUGGAGUCAGGUCAGUGUCUCGUAGACGGUCUGUUUGUUUCAUUUGUUAUCGCCGCCUCUACAAUUUGGCUUGCAGGACUGGAUCUUGAUCUGGUCGGGAAGUAAAGCUCCAUGUGGGUUGUGAACGUAUGGUGAAGGGGACUCGAGGCAGGUCAGUUUCCCAUGUUUCGUCACAUUGGUUUACUGGAUUCCUCAUCUGUGCUUGGUGACGUCAGAUUUGAGUGGCUAUACAUUCUUCGAUUUAUGUUCGUCUGAUGGCUGUUUGGGAUCUUCGUUCGGAAUCUUCUUCAACCACAAAAACUUGCACCUGGACUUCAUGCCUGUUUCAACUGAUUUACCAGAUUUCACUAUGGUCUGACUUUCCUUGAAGAAACUUUAAGUAUGCUGAUUAUAUUUGGGCCGUUCAUUGAUUUGCAUUGUUGGAGGUUUUAUUGCAAGAUUGUAGAGUUGGAUAGUCAGUUAGCGCGGGGACUUGGUGAAGCAAAUGGACUCCCUUGAUGGUUUUGACUUCUGAUUAGUGAUCCUGAAGCAUGAUGGUUUUUGUGGUAGUUUUCAGUUUGAACUUGCAUUCAGUGGCCUCAUAUCUUUGGUGCAGCUUGGAGCUGGUAGUGUGCACAUCUGAUUCUUUCAACUGUCCUGAAUCAUCUUACUUCGUUUCUGCUGUGCCACCUUACUGGUUACGGUAUCUUCUUCAACUUGCAUGUGGUUUGGAUGGAAUAUGAUCUCAUCUUUUGCUCGAAUCAAGAAAAUGCUAGAAGUCUCAAACAAGGGUCCAGAAUGGAAAUAUCAGUUCGUACUCAGUUUGUGUAGCAGAUUAUCAAAGUUUGAUUUGGCUAUUAAUUACCGGGUUACCAUACUGUUUCAGGAAGUUUGGUUUUGAUAUUUGGCUGCUUGUAUCUUUCAACUUGCAAAUUUAUCACCUAAUAGGAAGUAAAGAUCGCAUGUACAUGAGCUCUAAAUGCAGUAAAAAUGUUAAGCAUAUUAUAUGAAUAUAUGAAUUGGUUAUACUUGGA